rnacentral:lncRNA from 1 species
UCCCUCUUCAGGUUUUGGGAGGAAGGAAGACGGCAAAAAGAGCCCAAAAUCUCCAUUCAAGAACUCAACAAGAUGCUUCUUUGCCUCUGCCCUCUCACUGGAUCUCACCUUGAAGAUAAUCAAAUGACCGUUAGCUCCUAAACCUUGUUAUAACAGGUAGAAUUAAGUAACAGGGGUUUGUAUCCCUCACUUUGCUGCUGGGAAAACAGGCCCUGAAUGCCAAGGUGUUGAUUCUGACGUUAAUCAGACCCAAGUUGGGGACAAAACAGAAUUUUCCCUGAGCCCUAAUGAAGCUUCAUCCACACACCAGGUCGCAGGUCCCUUAGGUGACCUUAAGAAGCUGUGGGAUUUGGGAUUUUUUAAGGAAAUGAACAUUCCUUCUGCAGACGUGGCAAGUUGCAAGUUUCCCCUCUUAUUCCUGCUCCCUGCGAUUUGCCAUUCUUAAGAAGCAGAAGAGCCAAAAGGCAGCCACCAGAAAAGCCAAAGUAGACCAGAGUCAUCAACUGGACAAUUUGCUCCAGGGCGGCGGGCAUCUCAGGACUUAGUUCUGGGCCGUUUUGCCAUCCCACAGAUGGCAGCAGGUACUGUCGAUUCAAGUCUGUGACUGACCCGUGGAGAGAAAUGCCUUAAACAUUCUUCUUGAUUUAUGGACACUUUCAAGGGAAUGGCAAGGACCGCAGGAAGACGCCUUUGUUUUUUCUUUUGCCUUAAAUGCAGAUACGUUUAGAUGAAAGAAACCCCUACGUUAAGCUGAAAAUCUAGUGGCUGCUCUUCUUCUCUUCUCUCCUUUGCAGCCCUAAAUCACCCCAGGGAAGGGGUUUUGCUGUUCCUUGCUCUUCCCUGCCUUUCCUGCACUCCUACCUUCCUUUCCCCCUGAACUCUCCCCCUUCCUUUGUUCUCAGAUUUAAGAUGGCUGGGGAUCUGGAACCCGGGGAGAGAUGUUGGCAGAAACUGCCUUUUUGAAAGGAAAGCUCCGAGAGGUGCUGUUGGCGUUUAAAGGCGAUAAAGGGGGUGCUUUCGAAGAGAAGUUCAUUCAAUAGUAUUGAGUGCUUCAAUAUUGAGUGCUUACUAUGUGCAGAGCACUGUAC